rnacentral:rRNA from 1 species
GUCUACAGCCAUGGUACCCCGAACAUGCCUGAUCUUGUCUGAUCUUGGAAGCUAAGCAGGGUCGGACAUGGUAAGUACUUGGAUGGGAGACCACUUAGGAAAACUAGAUGCUGUAGGCU